ensembl:lncRNA
GCUCAUUAAUGUGCAGAGGGCUGCUUGAGAGAGCUAUAGUGCAUAGAAAUAUUGUGGCUAGACCUGCUAGGACUUUCUACCAUAUGUUGGCCUAUGCGUAUGGAAUGCAUAUAGGUAAUACACAGAACACAUCAAUAGUCACAUAUGCAAUGUUCGAUUUUAAAGCUUGAUAACGAGAUUUGACCUUUAUAAACUGCCGGCUGGGUGACCAGCAAGUGUUUGCUUUAUGUCUCUCCUCUGUAUAAAUCUAAUCUGUGUAGGCUAUCUUUAUAGAUCAGAGCCUGUGCUGUCUCACACAAGCUCAGUCGUCGAGCCCCACGUCUGGAGACAACCCCUUGGGAAAAAUACCAGAGAGCUCAAGUUUCUUAGAGAGGAAAGACAGAGAAGAAGCUUUCGGACCACACGCAGAGUUAAAGAGGAGAUAAAAGAGACCCAGAGUGGUUCCGACUGGGCCCAGAGUGAAAGAAGGAACAGAAGGUCCAGUUCAUUUACCACAAGGUAUGUAGUCCACCAGUGGAUUUGCAUAGCAAUGAGUGAGGAGAGACACUUUGGAAUCAUCCCUGUUUGAAAUAUUAUAUUUUUUCACGUGGUUUUCAGACAAUGUUUCAUAUGUACAUUUUUCACAUGGGUUUUUCCCUGGUAAAUGUUUUGCCCCCCACGUGACUUAUUUUUACCUCACACUUAUUUUGCAUCACUUCCAGCUACGUCUGGUUUCCCAUCCAGGGCUGACCAGGACCACCCCUUCUUAGCUUCAAAGGCAAAUCUGCAGUGGGAUGCCUCUGUGUUAUGUUGCUGGAAUGAAUAUGUUGAAACUUGCAACUGGAAAAAAGGCAAUGAACGCAAAGGCCAGGGUAACAACCAAAGAUAGGAAAAUUGCAAGAAAGAGGGAGGCAUUUUAUUUAAUUGUGUUAUCAGAAAAAUAAAAAAAUCACUGAAAGAAACAUUUUUGCAUCCAUCUACAAUUCAUUUGUUCUCGCAUUGAACAAUUAUUUCCUUGCAAUAUUUUGUUUUGCUAUCAAUACUUUUGGGUUCAUGUUUAAAUUUCAAUAUCAUUCUUGUUUGUAGUACUAAGAAUUUUGUUCUCGACUUCAGAAGUUUUGCUUAAUAUUAAUGGCACAAAAGUAACUCACUCACUAGAGGAUUGCACCAUACAAUAACACUAUUACUAAACGUGUUUAAAGCAGCUAUCCUUAAUUGAAACAUUAACAAAGUGUCUUCUCCGCCACAGUUUCAGUAAAAAUCUAAGAGAUGGGGCUGGAGAAAUGAAACCACUCUCAAAUCUAUAAAGUGCG